UACAGAGGUCCCAAGCGUUGUUCGGAUUCAUUGGGCGUAAAGGGUGCGUAGGUGGCGUCGUAAGUCGGGUGUGAAAUUUCGGAGCUCAACUCCGAAACUGCAUUCGAUACUGCGGUGCUUGAGGACUGGAGAGGAGACUGGAAUGCUUGGUGUAGCAGUGAAAUGCGUAGAUAUCAAGCGGAACACCAGUGGCGAAGGCGAGUCCCUGGACAACUCCUGACACUGAGGCACGAAAGCUAGGGGAGCAAACAGG
rnacentral:rRNA from 1 species